GUCCACGCCCUAAACGAUGUCAACUAGAUGUUGGAAGGGUUAAACCUUUUAGUGUCGCAGCUAACGCGUGAAGUUGACCGCCUGGGGAGUACGGCCGCAAGGCUAAAACUCAAAGGAAUUGACGGGGACCCGCACAAGCGGUGGAUGAUGUGGAUUAAUUCGAUGCAACGCGAAAACCUUACCUACCCUUGACAUGUCAGGGAUCCUGAAGAGAUUUGGGAGUGCCCGAAAGGGAGCCUGAACACAGGUGCUGCAUGGCUGUCGU
rnacentral:rRNA from 1 species